rnacentral:lncRNA from 1 species
CAGCUUAAAAGUAAAUAAAAAUAAACAAGUGCUUUCAAAGAUUUUAGACCUAUAUAAAGGGAUCAUUAGAAUACAACAAUUCAUACAUUCAAAAUGAAGUUAGCUCUCCUUAGUAUCUUUAUUUUGGGCUCCUUGUUUAUUCAGGAGUCGGAAGGAAUAUCUUUAUGUGUAAGUAUGAUUCGGUUUAUAUAUACUCGUACACUAAUUAUUAUGCUUUUAUACUCUUGUUGUAAACUGCUACUGCAUUAAAUUACAUUAAUGUAUGUUUAUUCUAGUGGCAUCCACAAGCUGUAUUUACGUGUCUUGCAAAUCCGGGAAAAGAAAUCGAAGUGACAUCAUGUUUUUUUUUUAUUUGUUCUAAACAAAAGUGCCAAUGUGCUGGAAUUGCACCGCCACCAGCACCAGCCCCUGCACCAGCGCCUGCACCAGCCCCUGCACCAGCGCCUGCACCAGCCCCUGCACCAGCGCCUGCACCAGCACCUGCACCAGCACCUGCACCAGCGCCUGCACCAGCACCAAAGGGAGGAAGAAGAAGAAGAGACGUACCCAUCGUUUUCGAUCAUUAAAAUCAAUCAAAAGAUCAUUAAUCAACAUUAAUACAUUUUCAAUUAAUAUUAUAACAAUUCCACUGAGUCUUUAAUAAUAAACAAUUUCCUUUUCUAAAGCAAA